UACGGGGGGAGCAAGCGUUGUUCGGAUUUACUGGGCGUAAAGGGCGCGUAGGCGGCAGGCCAAGUCGGGAGUGAAAGCCCGGGGCUCAACCCCGGAAUGUCUUUCGAAACUGGCCAGCUGGAGUGCGGAAGAGGCAACUGGAAUUCCCAGUGUAGCGGUGAAAUGCGUAGAUAUUGGGAAGAACACCUGAGGCGAAGGCGGGUUGCUGGGCCGACACUGACGCUGAGGCGCGAAAGCCAGGGGAGCAAACGGG
rnacentral:rRNA from 1 species